rnacentral:rRNA from 1 species
UGGUACUCCGCGUCUUACUUAAGCAUAUCAAUAAGCGGAGGAAAAGAAACCAACAGGGAUUGCCCUAGUAACGGCGAGUGAAGCGGCAACAGCUCAAAUUUGAAAUCUGGCUCUUUUAGAGUCCGAGUUGUAAUUUGCAGAGGGCGCUUUGGCUUUGGCAGCGGUCCAAGUUCCUUGGAACAGGACGUCACAGAGGGUGAGAAUCCCGUACGUGGUCGCUGGCUAUUGCCGUGUAAAGCCCCUUCGACGAGUCGAGUUGUUUGGGAAUGCAGCUCUAAAUGGGAGGUACAUUUCUUCUAAAGCUAAAUAUUGGCCAGAGACCGAUAGCGCACAAGUAGAGUGAUCGAAAGAUGAAAAGCACUUUGGAAAGAGAGUCAAACAGCACGUGAAAUUGUUGAAAGGGAAGCGCUUGCAGCCAGACUUGCUUACAGUUGCUCAUCCGGGUUUCUACCCGGUGCACUCUUCUGUAGGCAGGCCAGCAUCAGUUUGGGCGGUAGGAUAAAGGUCUCUGUCACGUACCUCCUUUCGGGGAGGCCUUAUAGGGGAGACGACAUACUACCAGCCUGGACUGAGGUCCGCGCAUCUGCUAGGAUGCUGGCGUAAUGGCUGUAAGCGGCCCGUCUUGAAACACGGACCAAGGAGUCUAACAUCUAUGCGAGUGUUUGGGUGUCAAGCCCGAGCGCGUAAUGAAAGUGAACGGAGGUGGGAACCCGCAAGGGUGCACCAUCGACCGAUCCUGAUGUCUUCGGAAGGAUUUGAGUAAGAGCAUGGCUGUUGGGACCCGAAAGAUGGUGAACUAUGCUUGAAUAGGGUGAAGCCAGAGGAAACUCUGGUGGAGGCUCGCAGCGGUUCUGACGUGCAAAUCGAUCGUCAAAUUUGGGCAUAGGGGCGAAAGACUAAUCGAG